rnacentral:lncRNA from 1 species
CGUUGUGGAGGCGGUGGAGUUAAGGUUAACCGGAAGAUGCACGACCAUACUUUCACUUUCAGUCUCAGAGCUGCAGCAUCUUCUCCACUUGGUACAGAUCGGAUUAAUCUGAUUCACAGUUUAUCCCGCAGUCAACAAUUCUCCAGUGCUAAAAACAAACCUACCAAUCAAUCAGUCCCCCUCACCAGCAGCAGGAUGGCCUUCCAAGUCUUAGUGCAUUUAGACAAAAAAACGAUCACGGUCACAGUGGCAGAAACCGAGGAACAGGCACUGAAGACUACCAUCAGAGAGUUAAAGGAGUUAAUUCUACAGACAGUGAAGGAAGAAAUCAGUAUUGACAAGUUCAGACUGAUCUUUGGGACUCAGCAGUUAGAAGAUAAUCGUACGCUGCAAGAUUAUAACAUAAUGCACGAUUCUGUAAUCAUGACGAUCUUCAUUAUAAAAGGAGGAGGGCCAGGUGCAAAACCAGAUGAACCACCAAAAAGGAGACGCAGUCGUGAAUUAACAUUUGAAGCAAUGGCUACACAGUUCCCCAACAGAUGUCUUGUACAGUAGAGAGAAUGGUCACACCAUGGUUCCGGAGGAGCUUAAUUUCGUUACAAUUUUGUGGAAAAAUAAAUUUCAAAAGUGUAUUUGCCUUUUUAUUUUU